GCACUCGUGGUGAAAUUGGUAGACACGCUGUCUUCAGGAGGCAGUGGGCUCCGCCCAUGCGAGUUCGAGUCUCGCCGAGUGCA
rnacentral:tRNA from 1 species